AUUGAACGCUGGCGGCAGGCCUAACACAUGCAAGUCGAACGAGUGGCGGACGGGUGAGUAAUGUCUGGGAAACUGCCUGAUGGAGGGGGAUCACUACUGGAAACGGUAGCUAAUACCGCAUACCAUCGGAUGUGCCCAGAUGGGAUUAGCUAGUAGGUGGGGUAAAGGCUCACCUAGGCGACGAUCCGUAGCUGGUCUGAGAGGAUGACGAGGCACACUGGAAAGGAGACACGGCCAAGACUCCUACGGGAGGCAGCAGUGGGGAAUAGGGGACAAGGGGGGCAAGCCUGAUGCAGCCAGGGCGCGUGUAUGAAGAAGGGCUUCGGGUUGUAAAGUACGUUCAGCGGGGAGGCGUUACCCGCAGAAGAAGCACCGGCUAACUCCGUGCCAGCAGCCGCGGUAAUUC
rnacentral:rRNA from 1 species